GGUUCGAUCAUGGCUCAGAUUAUUGAACGCUGGCGGGAUGCUUUACACAUGCAAGUCGAACGGCAGCACGACUCUCGGUCUAUGGCGAGUGGCGAACGGGUGAGAAUGGUCACUGAACGUGUCUAGUAAGGUGAGAUAACGGCGCCAGAAAGCGUAGAAUAAUACCGCAUGGUGAUCUUCGGGGAAAGCGGGGGGACCUUUCGGGCCGCACUAUUAGAGCGGCUGAUAUCGAUUAGCUAUUGGUGGGGCACUGGCUCACCAAGGCGACGAUCCGUAGCUGGUCAGAGAGACGACUGGCCACACUGGGACUGAGUGACACGGGCCCUGGCACCUACGGGAGGCAGCAGUGGGGAAUUUUGACAAUGUGAAACCGAUUCAGUCAUCCAAAAAAGGAUGGCUAUUUCGGUUAAAAAGCACUUUUGGCAGGAAGAAACGGCACGGGAUAAUACCCUGCAACUGACGGUACCUGUGAACAAGCACCGCCAACUACGCGCCCAGCAGCCGCGGUAAUACGUAUAGGUGCGCGUUAAUCUGGAAUACCAGGCGUAAAGCGUGCGCAGGCGGUUCUUUGCGCUGUUACGUGAAAUCCCAGAGCUUCAGCAUCCUGAACUGCAUUUUUAAAUCAUCAGAGCUAGGGAGCGGCAGCGAGGAGGUGGAAUUCCGCGUGUAGCAGUGAAAUGCGUAGAUAUGCGGAGGAACACCGAUACAGCGCAGCCUGGGAUAUAUAUACCAUCAUUGCUCAUGCACGAAAGCGUGGAGCAAACAGGAUUAGAUACCCUGGUAGUCCACGCCCUAAAACGAUGUCAACUAGCCAUUGGGGCCUUCGGCCUUGUAGCGCAGCUAAUCGCGAAGUUGACCGCCUGGGGAGUACGGUCGCAAGAUUUAAAACCGGAAAGGAGUCUACGACUCCGCACAAGCGGUGGAUGAUGUGAUUGUCUGAUGCAACGCGAAAACCUUACCUAAUCUUGACAUGUCUGAAUCCCGAAGAGAUUUGGGAGUGCUCGCAAGAGAACCGGAACACAGGUGCUGCAUGGCUGUCGUCAGCUCGUGUCGAGACGUUGGGCGGAGUCCGCAACGAGCGCAACCCUUGUCAUUAGUUGCUACGAAAGGGCACUCUAAUGAGACUGCCGGUGACAAACCGGAGGAAGGUGGGGAUGACGUCAAGUCCUCAUGGCCCUUAUGGGUAGGGCUUCACACGUCAUACAAUGGUCGGGACAGAGGGUCGCCAACCCGCGAGGGGGAGCCAAUCCCAGAAACCCGAUCGUAGUCCGACGUAGUCUGCAACUCGACUGCGUGAAGUCGGAAUCGCUAGUAAUCGCGGAUCAGCAUGUCGCGGUGAAUACGUUCCCGGGUCUUGUACACACCGCCCGUCACACCAUGGGAGUGGGUUUUACCAGAAGUAGUUAGCCUAACCGUAAGGAGGGCGAUACUGACGGUAGAUUCAUGACUGGGGUGAAGUCGUAACAAGGCAG
rnacentral:rRNA from 1 species